ensembl:misc_RNA Metazoa_SRP Metazoan signal recognition particle RNA
GCCGGGCGCAGUGGCGUGCGCCUGUAACCCAAGCUACUGGGAGGCUGAGGCUGGCGGAUCGUUUGAGCUCAGGGGUUCUGGGCUGCAGUGGGCUAUGUCGAUCGGGUGUCCGCGCUAAGUUCGGUAUCGAUAUGGUGCUCCUGGGGUGGUCCCGGGACUACCAGGUCGUCUAAGGAGGGGUGAAUCGGCCCAGGUCGGAAACGGAGCAGGUCAAAGCCCCCGUGCCGCUCAGUAGUGGGUUCGCGCCCGUGAAUAGACGCUGUAGUUCAUCCUGAAUAAUACAGCGGGACUCAGUCUUUU